rnacentral:rRNA from 1 species
UACGGGGGGGGCAAGCGUUGUUCGGAAUUACUGGGCGUAAAGGGCGCGUAGGCGGCCUUCUAAGUCGGACGUGAAAUCCCUCGGCUUAACCGAGGAACUGCGUCCGAUACUGAAAGGCUUGAAUCCGGGAGAGGGAUGUGGAAUUCCAGGUGUAGCGGUGAAAAUGCGUAGAUAUCUGGAGGAACACCGGUGGCGAAGGCGGCAUCCUGGACCGGUAUUGACGCUGAGGCGCGAAAGCUAGGGGAG